rnacentral:snRNA from 1 species
UUGUUUACCUAGCAGGGGAGAUACCACGAUCACAAAGGUGGUUUUCCCAGGGUGAGGCUUAUCCAUUGCACUCCAGAUGUGCCGACCUCUGCAAUUUCCCCAAAUGUGGAAAACUCGACUGCAUAAUUUGUGGUAGUGGUAGACUGUGUUCGUGCUCUCCCC